ACAGAACACCCUGAGCACAUCUUGUAACAGGACAGCGGCGAUGGAGUUUAGUCCGGAAGAGAGAGUACUGCAAAGAAACCAUAUACACAAUAGUUCAUCAGGUCAUUCAGUUAAAGUACUGUUUCAGAACUGCGCCCUAAAUGGUUAUCCUGUAGUUACCUGAGAGCACCUGAAAAGAGACAGGACACAAAAAGUCCAGGAAUUCCGGGUAUGUGUCCCAGGACGUCCAACACAAAAAGCGGGAGUAACUACGGAAACAAAAGAGAGAUCUUUUUAAAGGAGACCCAUACAGUCUGAAAGUGCAAACAAUAAGUCAAUAAAGACACUCAGAAGGACAAAUUAUAUCUUACUCUACAAAGUUGAUUCGGCCGGUGGCGACAGAAC